GGUAGAGCUGGGGAUAGCUCAGCAGCAGAGCAUGUGAAUAGCAUGCACAGAGAGAGCUUGGGUUCAAUCCUUGACAGUGGCAGGCAGAGUAAUAAUCUUAGGCUUGGAGAGAUGGCUCAGCCGUUAAGAGUGCUUCCUGCAUGUCCAGAGGAUCCAAGCUUGGUGAGGCUGACUUUCCUUUUACAGAUGAAGUUAUAGUGAAAUGCCACACAUAGCCACACAGUGACAUUAUCACCCGUCUGUAUCAUACAUCCUGUAUCGUCCCACAAGAUAAUAUCGUCUACUGAUGUCAUAGCAGUCUCUGAUCAUGGUGGGAGAAAGUGGCCAGAAAGUGGCUCAUUUCUCCAAACAUGCUGCUUUGGUGAGUGACUUAGGUCUGCACAGCAGCUGAGUGGUGGGGUUAAAAUUUCCCCAAAGUCCCACAACCACGAUUUGAGGAGUUGAGAUUUGAACUCUGCUUCCUACCCUGUGGCAUUGCUAAGCAUCAUCGUCCCCUUACGGGGCCCGAUGGUUAUUUCUAAUUGCGAAUUGUGCAGAACCUACAAUCACCUGGGGAAGAGAGCCUCAAUUGUCUUGUCUAGAUCCGGCUGGCUUUUGGGCAUGUCUGGGAGUAUUGUCUUGCUUGCCUGAAUGAAUGUGGGCAGACCCAGCUAGCGCACUGUGUCCGAGCACCAUUUCCUGGUUUAGACCCUGAACUGUGUAAAAGUAUAGAAAGCUAGCUGAGCACUAAGUGCGCAUGCAUUCAUUUCUCGAUUCUCUCUACUGUGGAGGUGACUAAGUCGAUUCAAAGCUCCUGCUAUCAUGCCUUCCCCCCACAGGGAUAGACUGUAACCUGUAGUUGUGACUUAAACUCUUUCUUCCUGGUGGUGUGUUAUUUUAUCACAGUAACAGAAACGAAACUUGAAGAGAGCUUAGUAAUAGGAAGGGUCAGGAGCGCUGAAACCGUUACUGAGUUCCUGCUGGGCAGGAAGCACGUGGUGAGAACAGUUACUACUGGCUUUCCCAACCUCUACACACCCAGGGAUUGGAUGCCAAUAUUACCAAUACUUGGCUGGAGAUUAAACCAAGCUUUGGAAGUGUUAAACAUGGAAAAUGUUCAUUAAAGUUCAUUCAGACAUGUCUGAAUGUCCACUGUCAGAAUAGUAAAUAAAAUCAUAAAAAUGUAGAUUUGGUGGAUUGGCAAAUAUCUCUGGUGAAUUUUGUGUGAGAUGCUGUGUCAGAGUUAAGGAGAAAUAGAUGUCCUCCCUGGUUGCUGAGUCUGCGUAGAGGAGUGUCCACACCAAGUGAGAGAGGUGGAAACAGCACAGAGACAUAGAGUUUGGCAAGGAUGCAGAGUGAGGAGGGUGGGGCCAGGAAGAUAAUGUACAAAUGAUAGGGGGUGUUAUGUUAGAACC
rnacentral:lncRNA from 1 species